UCCAGACUCCUACGGGAGGCAGCAGUGGGGAAUAUUGCACAAUGGGGGAAACCCUGAUGCAGCGACGCCGCGUGAGUGAAGAAGUAUUUCGGUAUGUAAAGCUCUCUCAGCAGGGAAGAAAAUGACGGUACCUGACUAAGAAGCCCCGGCUAACUACGUGCCAGCAGCCGCGGUAAUACGUAGGGGGCAAGCGUUAUCCGGAUUUACUGGGUGUAAAGGGAGCGUAGACGGCAUGGCAAGUCAGAUGUGAAAGCCCGGGGCUCAACCCCGGGACUGCAUUUGAAACUGUCAGGCUGGAGUGCAGGAGAGGUAAGUGGAAUUCCUAGUGUAGCGGUGAAAUGCGUAGAUAUUAGGAGGAACACCAGUGGCGAAGGCGGCUUACUGGACUGUAACUGACGUUGAGGCUCGAAAGCGUGGGGGUCAAACAGGAUUAGAUACCCCAGUAC
rnacentral:rRNA from 1 species